AUGAUGGACUAUAGGACAGGACUGCUGCUGUUAACUGUCUGCUGGGCAGGUGUUGACGGUCAGACUCUGACAGAAUCUGAACCAGUGGUUAAAAGGCCUGGAGAAUCUCACAGAUUGACCUGUACAGCCUCUGGAUUCACAUUCAGUGACUACCCUAUGAACUGGAUCAGACAGGCUCCUGGAAAAGGACUGGAGUGGAUCGCUUUUGUACACACAGGCAGCAGCCACAUCUUUUACUCCCAGUCAGUCAAAGGCCGGUUUACCAUCUCCAGAGAUGACUUCAGCAGUAAACUCUACCUACAGAUGAACAGUCUGAAGACUGAGGACACAGCUGUGUAUUACUGUGCCAGAGACACACAGUGAGAAACAAUAACAGGAGAGUCAUAC